UACGUAGGGUCCGAGCGUUGUCCGGAGUUACUGGGCGUAAAGCGCGCGCAGGUGGUUCACUAAGCCCGGCGUGAAAGCCCCCGGCUCAACCGGGGAGGGUCGUCGGGGACUGGUGAACUUGAGGGCGGCAGGGGCUGGUGGAAUCCCCGGUGUAGUGGUGAAAUGCGUAGAGAUCGGGGGGAACACCCGUGGCGAAGGCGGCCAGCUGGGCCGACCCUGACACUGAGGCGCGAAAGCUAGGGGAGCAAACGGG
rnacentral:rRNA from 1 species